rnacentral:rRNA from 1 species
GAUGAACGCUGGCGGCGUGCCUAAUACAUGCAAGUCGAGCGAACAGAUGAGGAGCUUGCUCCUCUGACGUUAGCGGCGGACGGGUGAGUAACACGUGGAUAACCUACCUAUAAGACUGGGAUAACUUCGGGAAACCGGAGCUAAUACCGGAUAAUAUAUUGAACCGCAUGGUUCAAUAGUGAAAGACGGUUUUGCUGUCACUUAUAGAUGGAUCCGCGCCGCAUUAGCUAGUUGGUAAGGUAACGGCUUACCAAGGGAACGAUGCGUAGCCGACCUGAGAGGGUGGUCGGCCACACUGGAGCUGGGACACGGUCCAGACUCCUACGGGAGGCAGCAGUAGGGAAUCUUCCGCAAUGGGCGAAAACCUGACGGAGCAACGCCGCGUGAGUGAUGAAGGUCUUCGGAUCGUAAAACUCUGUUAUUAGGGAAGAACAAAUGUGUAAGUAACUAUGCACGUCUUGACGGUACCUAAUCAGAAAGCCACGGCUAACUACGUG